AUUGAACGCUGGCGGCAGGCCUAACACAUGCAAGUCGAACGAGUGGCGGACGGGUGAGUAAUGUCUGGGAAACUGCCCGAUGGAGGGGGAUAACUACUGGAAACGGUAGCUAAUACCGCAUACCAUCGGAUGUGCCCAGAGGGUAUGAGCUUGUAGGUGAGGUAACGGCUCACCUAGGCGACGAUCCCGAGCUGGUCUGAGUGGAGGACCAGGCACACUGGAACUGAGACACGGUCCAUACUCCUACGGGAGGCAGCAGUGGGGAAUAUUGCACAAUGGGCGCAAGCCUGAUGCAGCCAUGCCGCGUGUAUGAAGAAGGCCUUCGGGUUGUAAAGUACUUUCAGCGGGGAGGCGUUACCCGCAGAAGAAGCACCGGCUAACUCCGUGCCAGCCGCCGCGGUAAUAC
rnacentral:rRNA from 1 species